rnacentral:misc_RNA from 1 species
GCGAGUCGAGUACAAGAAUUAACGCCAGCGCGCCAACGUGCGUCUUUCGCGCGGUCGUAAAACGGAGAGGAGGAAGGGGAUCCGAUCUUGGGGGGUUGUUCCGCUCCUAUCUGAGACUGCCAAUUUCCGCGGCGUCACAGGAAGCGGCUUUUGAACCUUCCGAAAUAUAGCCGCCUGACUGGUUAUGCAGAGGGGAGAGCCAGAGUGGAACGCGCCAGCAUUGAACAAGGACACGGUCGAAGGCCGUGAGAGAGUCGUCUUCGUUCCAACACUCGAAAUGAGCCAGCACGGGAGCAACGGAGUCGGAGCCCAGCCCUCGCCCUUCCAGAGCCAGGCAUCCGGUGACUCCGCAGGAGGCGACAGUCAGCAGGCCGGGUCCCUCAUGGAGCCCAGCGUGGACUCGGGCAUCCUGGAUACCACGCGGGUCGAAGACAUCAGCGGCGGCGGCCCACCGUCCCUGAGGCGCCGAGUGGUGGACGCCGUGCUGCUGGUCAGGCUGGAGAUCUUUCUCGCCCUGUUCAUCCUCUCGAGGUUCAUGACCAUGACUCCCAUCCAGGACCUGCUCCUUCAGAAGGCCUGCCUCAACCGCAUGCACUACAACGAGAGCAUCUGCUCGCACCUGGACGACCACGAGGACAUCAAGAACAGGGCCGAGAAGGCGGCGAGCAUGACCAGCAUGGUACGCACCGUCAUCUCACUGGCCCCGGGCGCCGUCAUCGCCAUUUUCGUUGGGCCCUGGUGCGACAAGUACGGCUACCGGACGCCGCUCCUCAGCGCCAUGACGGGCUUCCUCAUCAGCACGGCGCUGACGAUGAUGACCGUGUACCACAUGUGGAUGCCGCUCUACGUCAACAUCCUGUCGACCAUACCUGACGGCUUGAGCGGAGGCUUCAUCGUCGUCUUCACGGCCAUCUACAGCGAGGCCACACUGACCACUGAUUCGAAGAGCAGGAGGGCGCGAUUCUUCGCUCUGAACUUCACCAUGUCGCUGUGCUCGCCGCUGGCCGGUUUCACCGGCGGUCAGCUAUACGGUCACUUCGGCUGGAAGACGGUGCUGUACGUGGCCUUCGUCAUAGCCAUCUUGUCCAUCGUGUGGGUUCUGGUGGCCAUCAAGGACUUGGUGAAGCCCGAACACGCCCAGGAUGGAGCUAGGGUCAAGUUCUGCAACUUGUUCGAUGUGUCCAACCUGGCAGACGGGUUCAAGACUUCGAUGAAGCUCCGGCCGAACAAGGGAAGGACUCAGCUAUGGUGUCUGUUCGGCGCCAUCUGCUGCGUCGUGUUCGACUUCGCAGCCAUGGGCACCAUGUACUACUAUGUGCGCAAGAUGUACAAUUGGACGGUGGCGCACUACGCCACGGUCUCCUCCAUCUCUUCGGUGUGCAACGUGGUGCUGAGCAUGCCCAUCAUCUUCCUCUUCGUCAAGGUCCUCAAGAUCAGCGACCCCGCCAUGGCGCUCGUCGGUGUCUGCUUCGCCAUCGUGCAGAUGACUAUUCUGGGUCUCGCCUUCAAGGAGUGGCUGUACUACCUGUGUACACUGUGUGGCCGGCAUCCCUACCUUCCUGGGCCAGGUCGGGGUGCGUACCCAUCUUUCCAAGCUGGUGGGACAGGACGAAGUGGGUAAGGUGUUUUCGUUUCUGGCCUCUUUCGACGCGGUGGUGCCUGUCCUGGGCGAGAUUCUCAUCACGUCGCUCUUCAACUGGUCCAUCGGCUUCUUUCCGGGACUGCCUUACCUGGUGGCCGCUGGAAUCACAUUCAUCUCGGCUGGUCUCAUCGCCUACGUGACGAAGAUUCAUCAGGAGGGCGUCAUGUACGAAGACAUGCCCAAAGAGGA